GAGGGGGUGUGAGCUGUGAUAACAUCAGCCAUGAUAGCUCGGCCGCUCAGCCCAGCAGGGGCCACUGCUGUGGGGAAAAUGAAAAGGAAGGCAGCCUUGUUAGGGAAAAUGUAAGAAGAUCUGGAAAGGGAAAUGAAAGCCUGAGGCCCUUCUCAGACUGAGACGGUACUGUGGGCGCCCUGUGGGAAAAGGUAUUUUGGAUUUCACCGUUCACCCUAUGUAGCCAAUUAAAAAUACUUCUCUAUGAAGAAGUAUGAAGAAGUCUGAUGCCAGCUACAAAGGUGCGCUUGGUGAAGUCUGGAAUUAAACAACAAGCGAGACAAGACAGUGCAAGUCGAUAUUGCCGGCGUUGGAGAUUUCUGUGCUACCCCGAAAAACUCAAAAGGAGGUCUGAGUUAUAAAUAAAUGC